rnacentral:rRNA from 1 species
CCUGAUGCAGCAACGCCGCGUGAACGAUGAAGGUCUUCGGAUCGUAAAGUUCUGUUGCAGGGGAAGAUAAUGACGGUACCCUGUGAGGAAGCCCCGGCUAACUACGUGCCAGCAGCCGCGGUAAUACGUAGGGGGCUAGCGUUAUCCGGAUUUACUGGGCGUAAAGGGUGCGUAGGUGGUCCUUCAAGUCGGUGGUUAAAGGCUACGGCUCAACCGUAGUAAGCCGCCGAAACUGGAGGACUUGAGUGCAGGAGAGGAAAGUGGAAUUCCCAGUGUAGCGGUGAAAUGCGUAGAUAUUGGGAGGAACACCAGUAGCGAAGGCGGCUUUCUGGACUGCAACUGACACUGAGGCACGAAAGCGUGGGUAGCAAACAGGAUUAGAUACCCUGGUAGUCCACGCUGUAAACGAUGAGUACUAGGUGUCGGGGGUUACCCCCCUCGGUGCCGCACUAACGCAUUAAGUACUCCGCCGGGGGAGUACGCACGCAAGUGUGAAACUCAAAGGAAUUGACGGGGGACCCGCACAAGUAGCGGAGCAUGUGGUUUAAUUC